rnacentral:lncRNA from 1 species
CCCUGUUGUGUUGAUCCGAUCUACCAACUUCUCUUUAAUUUAAUCUACAAAAGAAAUUAUCAAACACACACAAGUAAGCUUAUUGAAGCUUAGUAAGCUCAUAGGCAUAAAAACACAAAUCAUAUCAAAUAUUGUACACAAUCAUUUAUCUAUUAGUUUAACUAUUUCAUCCUCCAAAUCACAAUUUCAUUAAUAACUCAUUGGAAUAAUUU